rnacentral:rRNA from 1 species
UACGUAGGGUGCGAGCGUUGUCCGGAAUUAUUGGGCGUAAAGAGCUCGUAGGCGGUGUGUCGCGUCGGCCGUGAAAACCUGGGGCUCAACUCUGGGCGUGCGGUCGAUACGGGCAUCACUGGAGUUCGGCAGGGGAGACUGGAAUUCCUGGUGUAGCGGUGAAAUGCGCAGAUAUCAGGAGGAACACCGGUGGCGAAGGCGGGUCUCUGGACAGUUCCUGACGCUGAGGCACGAAGGCCAGGGGAGCAAACGGG